UACGUAGGGUGCGAGCGUUGUCCGGAAUUACUGGGCGUAAAGAGCUCGUAGGUGGUUUGUCGCGUUGUUCGUGAAAACUCACAGCUCAACUGUGGGCGUGCGGGCGAUACGGGCAGACUGGAGUACUGCAGGGGAGACUGGAAUUCCUGGUGUAGCGGUGGAAUGCGCAGAUAUCAGGAGGAACACCGGUGGCGAAGGCGGUUCUCUGGGCAUUACCUGACGCUGAGGAGCGAAAGCGUGGGGAGCAAACAGG
rnacentral:rRNA from 1 species